CUUGAAUAAAAUAAGAGGUCCAGCCUGCCCAGUGAAAUUAUUCAACGGCCGCGGUAUCCUAACCGUGCGAAGGUAGCGUAAUCACUUGUUCUUUAAAUGAGGACUAGUAUGAAUGGCACCACGAGGGUUCUACUGUCUCCUUUUUUUAAUCAGUGAAACUAAUCUCCCCGUGAAGAAGCGGGGAUCUUUAUAUAAGACGAGAAGACCCUAUGGAGCUUUAAACAACCAACAUUUGCUACACCACAACAUUUUCCCUAAAAGAAGUAUAGCAUUAUGAUUUUUAGUUUUCGAUUGGGGUGAUCACGGAGUAAAAUGUAACCUCCAUGCCGAAAGGGUUUUUACCCUGAGCAAAAAGCCACAGCUUUAAGCACUAAAAAAUUAACGCAGUUUGACCCAAUAUUUUGAUCAACGAAC
rnacentral:rRNA from 1 species